rnacentral:rRNA from 1 species
UACGUAGGGUGCGAGCGUUGUCCGGAAUUACUGGGCGUAAAGAGCUCGUAGGUGGUUUGUCGCGUUGUCCGUGAAAACUCACAACUCAAUUGUGGGCGUGCGGCGAUACGGGCAGACUGGAGUACUGCAGGGGAGACUGGAAUUCCUGGUGUAGCGGUGGAAUGCGCAGAUAUCAGGAAGAACACCAAUGGCGAAAGCAGCUUUCUGGGACGGUACUGACGCUGAGACGCGAAAGCGUGGGGAGCAAACGGG